GGGCACUUGGCACAGUUGGUAGCGCGCACGCUUCGCAUUAUAACGGGACUGCGUGAGGUCGUGGGUUCAACUCCCACAGUGUCCA